rnacentral:rRNA from 1 species
ACCCGCUGACCUAAGCACAAAGAGGGGGGAG